UCGAGACAUGCAGCACGCAAUGAGUCUUACUGCAGUUAUCAAAUACACGCGCGCGUGCCUGUGAGCGCACGAAAAGCAUCACACCUGAAGGCAGGGCGAACGCAUGCGCAACGUCACGUGGCUCGCCGAGACUCCAAGUGAAAGUGAAAAAAAACGUCUCUUGAAGGUACAAUAAGUCGUUGGGUUUUUGUUGUUGUUGUUUUUUCUUUAAGCAACCCGGGAAUCAGGUUUGUGGGUGACUGUGGUUCUCCGGUGGUGCUCGUUUGCAGCAGAGGAGGAAGGGCAGACCAUUGCAUAAAGUCUUUCGGAAAGCAUUUGCAGUCAACUAAAGGUGAACGUGCAUAUCUUCAAGUAGAUUCAUGGGGAAAACUCUGAACAAAAACCUGACCUCACAGAUCCUUAUUAAGACCAUCCAAAGGGCUCUGUAAGCAAAUGACGGAUGUUUCCGUGCUCUGUCCUGAAAACUAACCACGUCUGUGACACCGAUGCACCUGCCAUCACUAAAGACAUUCAAACUGCAAACCAGGAAAGCUGGAAGCUGGAUUAUCACAGCCAUCUUCACCCCACCGUCUAAAGAGGUUUUGAUCCCAGACUCCAGGAGUCUUUUUGACUGACUUCCAUCUGAUCCCCAACAUUGGAUUUAUAAUUUGCUUCAUUCAUUCACUUUUGGUUUUCUUUUGGUUUCCACAGGAAUGCUGCUUCCUGAAAAAUAAGUUUCAAUGGGAAGAAUGAAAGGUAUCAGAAUA